rnacentral:lncRNA from 1 species
GCGACCUUACGGUGGCCGAGAAAGCCCAACGCUGUGCAAAUUGAAAAGCAAAAAGCAGAAAAUACAUCCAUCAAAAUCACUGCAAAUCGAGAAACGCGCUUCAAAUACAACCACAACACAACGGAAUUUUCCCGGGGGACCUUAAAAGAUGCUGUACCAUCUAAACUACGUCUUCAGUAGCGUCUCGGACUUCACUGUGUGUACAGAGGACUAUAAAUGGCAAACAAGCUUCUGAAAAGUCAUGUUUUGCCCAUUUUGUGGAAAUGCUUUGGAGGAUAUUGGGACAUUCUGUCUGUCCUGUGGUGGGAAUAUUCCAUUUUUAAGAAAUGUUCAAAAUGACUGAGCCAGAAGGUGCACAAAUUCUCACUUGCAGUAAGGUCCCAGUGGAGGAGAUGGAAGGCCAUAAAGCUAAGGUAAUUUAAUACUGGAACAAGACAAGAGGAUCAAGU